UACGAAGGGGGCUAGCGUUGCUCGGAAUCACUGGGCGUAAAGCGCACGUAGGCGGUUUCUUAAGUCAGGGGUGAAAUCCUGGAGCUCAACUCCAGAACUGCCUUUGGUACUGGGAGACUUGGAGUCCGGGAGAGGUGAGUGGAACUGCGAGUGUAGAGGUGAAAUUCGUAGAUAUUCGCAAGAACACCAGUGGCGAAGGCGGCUCACUGGCCCGGUACUGACGCUGAGGUGCGAAAGCGUGGGGAGCAAACAGG
rnacentral:rRNA from 1 species